rnacentral:rRNA from 1 species
GACGAACGCUGGCGGCGUGCUUAACACAUGCAAGUCGAACGAAGAGCGAUGGAAUCUUGCUUCUAUCAAUCUUAGUGGCGAACGGGUGAGUAACGCGUAAUCAACCUGCCCUUCAGAGGGGGACAACAGUUGGAAACGACUGCUAAUACCGCAUACGAUCCAAUCUCGGCAUCGGGUCUGGAUGAAAGGUGGCCUCUAUUUAUCAGCUAUCACUUAAGGUGGGGAUUGCGUCUGUUUCGCUAGUUGGAGGGGUAACGGCCCACCAAGGCGAUGAUCAGGAGCCGGACUGAGAGGAUGGACGGCCGCAUUGGGACUGAGACACGGCCCAGACGCCUACGGGAGGCAGCAGUGGGGAAUCGUCCGCAAUGGACGAAAGUCUGACGGAGCAACGCCGAGGGAGUGAUGACGGCCGUCGGGUUGUAAAGCUCUGUUAAUCGGGACGAAUGGUUCUUGUGCGAAUAGUGCGAGGAUUUGACGGUACCGGAAUAGAAAGCAACGGCUAACUACGUG